rnacentral:lncRNA from 1 species
UACUUACAUAACUGAGCUUUAUUUAGAAUCUUUGAAGUCAUAAAAUCUCUCAUUUUACUGAUAGACGUAAACAUACAAUCAGGAGGUUUCAUUGCUUUUUCCCUUGCACAGAAAUAAAGUUUAAACAAACCAGAACACCUCAACCCAGACAAGCGUAAUGCAGAUUUAAUCACCUAUACUUGGUCCUGUACAUACAGCACACGCUCCUCCGUGUGGUCACUGGUUUAUCAAUUAGUUGCAAUAUAAUUUUUGGCAGUAAUAUAUUCAACACACAAAGUGCAAAUUACAAGAAGCAGAAAAAUGUUCUCUCUCAUUCUGAGCAAUGAGAAGUGCAAAAUAUCUCAGCCCAUAAAUUCUAUUCUUUGUGUAUAUGAACAGUAUGUGCAUAAUAGGCUAAUAAAUAGCCGUGUAAAACUUCAUAGAUUAAAUGUGGCAACAUCUUAAAGGAGGAAUGCAACGGUUAUAAAAACAUAAUCAGGCAGAGGAAUCAUUACCUCUUGUUUAUAAAUUCCACACACUGUUUCUGAGGGUACCUCUUCACAUUUCACCUACCCGCCUUUAACUUCUGCAUACCUUGGAUGCUUCUGCAACCAAAGGCAGUUUGUUAAACAUUCUCCCAAUUUGCUACAUCUGGACAUAUUUCCGUGUGUCUACAAUCAAGGUUCCACUAACACUUCACUUGGCAAAUCAAAUAGUACAGUGGGAAUCCACUGAAAACGUGAAGUCUCUUCCAGGCACUAUUAACGGAAUACUAUUCCAGCAGGCUAAAUGCACUUUGUGAUUAACCUAAAGUUAAAAGGAAACUUUGCAAUGAAGAAAAACUAUUUCAAUGAGAGCUAAUCACAGCUUGCUUCAGUGUAGCUCAUCUCGCUUCAGUACCUCUUCUUUAAAGUAAAUUGGGGAAAUACCCUGUCUAGAUAAAACAUACUGAACAACAGUACCUUUAACACAAACCCUGCACUGCUCAGUUGUUAUACUGCAGAUUUUGAAUCAUCUUUCUAUUACAUACCAGGGAUUUUUCACACAAAAUGAGCAGCCAAUUUUGACACUCUCCCCGUGCUUUCAUUUCUCCCAGCUACAUCAUCACUAUAAAUUAUACCAAAUAGUCCAAAUCAGACUGGGCUGCUUCCUCUAAAACCCUACUGUUCCUUUGGAUAGGAAGAUUAAACCACAAUGACUUGCAUUGCCAUUAAUCUGCCUGCCAAAUUCAUUUGCUAAAUCACUAAGGCCACGGUCAUAUAAUCACUGCAGGAAUGGCUGUGACACGUAACGAAGUUGCUAACUUUUGGCUGAACGUUCCUGCAUCCCACCUUCAGUGUGCAGACACGACAGGCCUUGGGAAGGUGCCUUGUGGGCUUUGGCACAUGCUUGCUUAAACCAAAAAGUAGUUGAGGGCUUCAAAUGGGCCAUAUGACUUGCUGGAGGAGGCUGAGGAACCCCCUUCUUCAUGCUCUGCCCUGGGGAGGACAUCACCUUAAACCGCUGCAGCAGUCUUCUGCAGUGAUCAUCUCACCAGUGCCUGGUAUUAUUUGGUAUUAUCCAAACC